GAAAAAAGCCAAAGCUGCAUAUGUUGCUUCCGGCACGUUUGCUGUGAAUGCUGCUUGUGCUGUCGUCGUGAAUGAGUUCACUACCUCAUCAUCCUCUUUGGUAGAAGUGGUAGCAGUGGCACCAACUCUUUCUACUUCUACUUCUCAGGCACUCGAAAAACAACAAGAACAACAAGACAAAGUCAACAGCCCUGCUACUAUUGACGUUGGUAAAUUUGUCGUGGA
rnacentral:ribozyme from 1 species